GGAAUACCAAGAUAUUUAUUAUUUCCUAAAUAGUCAAGGCUACUUCUCAUCCCUUAGAUCUAAUUGGUCAUGCCUCUCUGCCCAGCAGAAUUUUAACACCUAUCCUUUCUCAUGCUAACUUCUAUUUAGAUUUCAGAUUAGAUCUCAAAGUUAAACUCCUUCAGAUGUGGACUCAGCUCAAAUACCAUGGAUACCAGAGAUAUCAUUGACUUAAUUAUUCUUAUGCUGAUUAGUUCUAAAGUUUAGAGAUUUAGGAAGGUACUAAGAGUGGCAAAUGUGUGUCAUCUGCAUCUUAAAAAAUAAGAAGAAAGAGGAAAAAAAAAAAAAGAAAGAAAGAAAAAACUACAUUUAGCAACCCAGACUAGAAUCUAAGCUCUGUCAAAGUGAUUUCUUAUUCCAUUUUACUGAAGCAGUGCCAAGCUUUAUCACUUCUGAGUUCAUGUCAACUGAAAUAGAGGAAAUGGGAACUAGAAACAUUAAACCAUGCGUAAUUAAUGGUUCUUUGUCUUGCUGGUCCUCUGGAACUCUUUUUAUGAGUGUUAUGCAGAUGCCCUAUAGCAGGAAGGGCAGUGCUGUCAUUUGAAUAGGGUUGGUUGUUCUCCACCAAAGUGCA
rnacentral:lncRNA from 1 species